AACCAACAGGGAUUGCCCUAGUAACGGCGAGUGAAGCGGCAACAGCUCAAAUUUGAAAUCUGGCCUCGGCCCGAGUUGUAAUUUGCAGAGGAUGUUUCUGGCGCGGUGCCUUCCGAGUUCCCUGGAACGGGACGCCACAGAGGGUGAGAGCCCCGUAUGGUUGGACACCAAGCCUGUGUGAAACUCCUUCGACGAGUCGAGUAGUUUGGGAAUGCUGCUCUAAAUGGGAGGUAAAUCUCUUCUAAAGCUAAAUACCGGCCAGAGACCGAUAGCGCACAAGUAGAGUGAUCGAAAGAUGAAAAGCACCUUGAAAAGGGGGUUAAACAGUACGUGAAAUUGUUGAAAGGGAAGCGCUCAUGACCAGACUUGUGCCGGGCGGUUCAUCCGGGGUUCUCCCCGGUGCACUCCGCCCGGUUCAGGCCAGCAUCGGUUCUCGUUGGGGGAUAAGAACGGUAGGAACGUGGCCCUCCCUCGGGAGGGUGUUAUAGCCUGCCGUACGAUACCCUGAUGGGGACCGAGGUUCGCGCUCCGCAAGGAUGCUGGCGUAAUGGUCAUCAGCGACCCGUCUUGAAACACGGACCAAGGAGUCGUCCAUUAGAGCGAGCGUUUGGGUGUAAAACCCGCACGCGUAAUGAAAGUGAAAUUAGGUGAGAGCUUCGGCGCAUCAUCGACCGAUCCUGAUGUUCUCGGAUGGAUUUGAGUAAGAGUUUUAACGGACGGACCCGAAAGACAGUGAACUAUGCUUGUAUAGGGUGAAGCCAGAGGAAACUCUGGUGGAGGCUCGCAGCGGUUCUGACGUGCAAAUCGAUCGUCAAAUAUGAGCAUGGGGGCGAAAGACUAAUCGAAC
rnacentral:rRNA from 1 species